UCCGUUUGGCACUAAAUACACAAAAAUUGGAACUAUACAGAGAAGACUAGCAUGGCCCCUAUGCAAGGAUGAUACACAAGUUUGAGGAGUGUUACAUCUUGAA
rnacentral:snRNA from 1 species